rnacentral:rRNA from 1 species
GGGCAACCUGCCCCCGGCUUCGGGAUAACUCCAAGAAAUUGGUGCUAAUACCGGAUGUGACCGCUGACCGCAUGGUCUGGUGGUGGAAAGAUUCAUCGGCUGGGGAUGGGCCCGCGGCCUAUCAGCUUGUUGGUGGGGUAGUGGCCUACCAAGGCGACGACGGGUAGCCGGCCUGAGAGGGUGACCGGCCACACUGGGACUGAGACACGGCCCAGACUCCUACGGGAGGCAGCAGUGGGGAAUAUUGCGCAAUGGGCGGAAGCCUGACGCAGCGACGCCGCGUGAGGGAUGACGGCCUUCGGGUUGUAAACCUCUUUCAGUAGGGACGAAGCCGUGAGGUGACGGUACCUACAGAAGAAGCACCGGCCAACUACGUGCCAGCAGCCGCGGUAAUACGUAGGGUGCAAGCGUUGUCCGGAAUUAUUGGGCGUAAAGAGCUCGUAGGCGGUCUGUCGCGUCGGCUGUGAAAACCCGAGGCUCAACCUCGGGCCUGCAGUCGAUACGGGCAAACUGGAGUACUGCAGGGGAGACUGGAAUUCCUGGUGUAGCGGUGAAAUGCGCAGAUAUCAGGAGGAACACCGGUGGCGAAGGCGGGUCUCUGGGCAGUAACU